rnacentral:rRNA from 1 species
AGUGAACGCUGGCGGUAGGCCUAACACAUGCAAGUCGAACGGCAGCACAGUAAGAGCUUGCUCUUACGGGUGGCGAGUGGCGGACGGGUGAGGAAUACAUCGGAAUCUACUUUUUCGUGGGGGAUAACGUAGGGAAACUUACGCUAAUACCGCAUACGACCUACGGGUGAAAGCAGGGGAUCUUCGGACCUUGCGCGAUUGAAUGAGCCGAUGUCGGAUUAGCUAGUUGGCGGGGUAAAGGCCCACCAAGGCGACGAUCCGUAGCUGGUCUGAGAGGAUGGUCAGCCACACUGGAACUGAGACACGGUCCAGACUCCUACGGGAGGCAGCAGUGGGGAAUAUUGGACAAUGGGCGCAAGCCUGAUCCAGCCAUACCGCGUGGGUGAAGAAGGCCUUCGGGUUGUAAAGCCCUUUUGUUGGGAAAGAAAAGCAGCAGGUUAAUACCCCGCUGUUCUGACGGUACCCAAAGAAUAAGCACCGGCUAACUUCGU